AGAGUGAACGCUGGCGGCAGGCCUAACACAUGCAAGUCGAACGGCAGCACAGCAGAGCUUGCUCUGUGGGUGGCGAGUGGCGGACGGGUGAGGAUAACGUCGGAAUCUGCCUAUUUGUGGGGGAUAACGUAGGGAAACUUACGCUAAUACCGCAUACGACCUACGGGUGAAAGCGGAGGACCUUCGGGCUUCGCGCAGAUAGAUGAGCCGACGUCGGAUUAGCUAGUUGGCGGGGUAAAGGCCCACCAAGGCGACGAUCCGUAGCUGGUCUGAGAGGAUGAUCAGCCACACUGGAACUGAGACACGGUCCAGACUCCUACGGGAGGCAGCAGUGGGGAAUAUUGGACAAUGGGCGCAAGCCUG
rnacentral:rRNA from 1 species